CCCUUCACAAACACACACACACACGCACACACACACACACAUCCGGUGGCCUUUUCCAUUCCGGCUCUCAGCCUGUAUCUACCACUUCAUCUCACGCUGGCUGCUUUCCAAGUGUGGGAGAUAGGUCUUGUGUCUGAUGCCGCACUCAUGGCAUCCUGACAGGAAGUUUGGGAUUCUGCCAGAGCUGAAACAGCUGGCCUCGUCCACAUCGGUCCGUAACAUCACACAGCACGUGGAGUCUCGAGGCAGGACGCCGAUCGUCUGGUGCCGGGAGUCAGAUGUACCACUGAGCGUUUACAGACCCAGCUGUGCCUACCCAUAAUGCACAGCAAGAUAACCAUACCAGAACAAAUUUAGGAGCCUUUUUAUAG